ACGAACCGUACGAACGUUAUUCGGAUUCACUGGGCUUAAAGCGUGCGUAGGCGGCUGGGAAAGUUGGGUGUGAAAUCCCUCGGCUCAACCGAGGAAUUGCGCCCAAAACUACCUGGCUUGAGGAAGAUAGAGGUAAGCGGAACUAAUGGUGGAGCGGUGAAAUGCGUUGAUAUCAUUAGGAACACCUGUGGCGAAAGCAGCUUACUGGGUCUUAUCUGACGCUGAGGCACGAAAGCUAGGGGAGCGAACGGGAUUAGAUACCCCGGUAGUCCUAGCUGUAAACGAUGAGCACUGGGUUGAGGGGACUUCCACAUCCUCUCGGCCGUAGCGAAAGUGUUAAGUGCUCCGCCUGGGGAGUAUGGUCGCAAGGCUG
rnacentral:rRNA from 1 species